rnacentral:tRNA from 1 species
GCCGGUUUAACUUAGAGGUUAGAGCAUCGCAUUUGUAAUGCGAAGAUCAUCGGUUCGAAUCCGAUAACUGGCU